AGAGUUUGAUCAUGGCUCAGGAUGAACGCUGGCGGCGUGCCUAACACAUGCAAGUCGAGCGAACCCUUCGGGGUGAGCGGCGGACGGGUGAGUAACGCGUGGGUAACCUGCCCUAUACACACGGAUAACGUACCGAAAGGUACGCUAAUACGAGAUAAUAUAUUUUUAUCGCAUGGUGAAAAUAUCAAAGCUCCGGCGGUAUAGGAUGGACCCGCGUCUGAUUAGCUAGUUGGUAAGGUAAUGGCUUACCAAGGCGACGAUCAGUAGCCGACCUGAGAGGGUGAUCGGCCACAUUGGAACUGAGACACGGUCCAAACUCCUACGGGAGGCAGCAGUGGGGAAUAUUGCACAAUGGGCGAAAGCCUGAUGCAGCAACGCCGCGUGAGCGAUGAAGGCCUUCGGGUCGUAAAGCUCUGUCCUCAAGGAAGAUAAUGACGGUACUUGAGGAGGAAGCCCCGGCUAACUACGUGCCAGCAGCCGCGGUAAUACGUAGGGGGCUAGCGUUAUCCGGAAUUACUGGGCGUAAAGGGUGCGUAGGUGGUUUCUUAAGUCAGAGGUGAAAGGCUACGGCUCAACCGUAGUAAGCCUUUGAAACUGAGAAACUUGAGUGCAGGAGAGGAGAGUAGAAUUCCUAGUGUAGCGGUGAAAUGCGUAGAUAUUAGGAGGAAUACCAGUUGCGAAGGCGGCUCUCUGGACUGUAACUGACACUGAGGCACGAAAGCGUGGGGAGCAAACAGGAUUAGAUACCCUGGUAGUCCACGCCGUAAACGAUGAGUACUAGCUGUCGGAGGUUACCCCCUUCGGUGGCGCAGCUAACGCAUUAAGUACUCCGCCUGGGAAGUACGCUCGCAAGAGUGAAACUCAAAUGAAUUGACGG
rnacentral:rRNA from 1 species